rnacentral:rRNA from 1 species
GAUGAACGCUGGCGGCGUGCCUAAUACAUGCAAGUCGAGCGAAUGGAUUGAGAGCUUGCUCUUAUGAAGUUAGCGGCGGACGGGUGAGUAACACGUGGGUAACCUGCCCGUAAGACUGGGAUAACGCCGGGAAACCGGGGCUAAUACCGGAUAACAUUUUGAACCGCAUGGUUCGAAAUUGAAAGGCGGCUUCGGCUGUUACUUAUGGAUGGACCCGCGUCGCAUUAGCUAGUUGGUGAGGUAACGGCUCACCAAGGCAACGAUGCGUAGCCGACCUGAGAGGGUGAUCGGCCACACUGGGACUGAGACACGGCCCAGACUCCUACGGGAGGCAGCAGUAGGGAAUCUUCCGCAAUGGACGAAAGUCUGACGGAGCAACGCCGCGUGAGUGAUGAAGGCUUUCGGGUCGUAAAACUCUGUUGUUAGGGAAGAACAAGUGCUAGUUGAAUAAGCUGGCACCUUGACGGUACCUAACCAGAAAGCCACGGCUAACUACGUGCCAGCAGCCGCCGCAG